AGUGCACUAUAUAGACAAUAGGGUGCAAUUUCGGAGAGACACUAUGUGUGUUUGCAUGUCUUUUCUCGCGCAGCCUGCAGACAGACGCAAUUUCCUGAGACAGUGGAUAGUCUGUUCUAUCUGUACAGAUUCACUCAGGAAACUAAAUACAGAGACUGGGGCUGGGACAUUCUAGAGAGCUUCAACAGAUACACCAGGGUGCCAAGUGGAGGCUAUACCUCCAUCAGUAACGUGCAUGACCCUGUGAACCCUGGUCCCAGGGACAAGAUGGAGAGCUUCUUCCUGGGGGAGACACUCAAAUACUUCUACCUGUUGUUCUCAGACGACCUGGAGCUGCUCAGCCUGGACAAGUAUGUGUUCAACACCGAGGCCCACCCACUACCCAUCUGGCAAUCUCCUCCGGUCUGAGACAGGACGUGAUGUCAUAGAGGAGUAGCUUACCACCAAGAUCCUGGUUUGAACCUCCUUUCUAGGGUUUAGAAGCCAAACGGCUGCCUUCUUCUCAAGGGAUCCGGCUUGACUCACUGUGGUGUGCCGGUGCACAGUCAAAGACUCUUCAAUAGGCUUUCAAGUGGAGAACUUUGGGAUUAUCCUGGGAUCGGGGCGAUGCCAUAGAGCUGGUCUCUGUUGUACUAAGGAUUUGUAAUUUGAGAAGAUGGGUGGCUUGCUGUUCAGUUCAAAAGAAACAAGACGACAGGUCUACGAAAUUAACUUAAAAUGAACUACAUGUAGGUUUAUUGCAGAGGUGGGAUGACUAGGAGAGAAAUUAGACUAAGCCUCCCCAGGUGCCUGUUUGAUUAUUUUCUAACACUGGACAGACAGUAAUAUCAUCCUCUCCCUUCCCGUCCCUGACGGGCUGACAAAGAAUAUGAAAUAUGGUGGAAAUACCUAAAGUUGGUCAUGGUUUUGCACAGAUUGUUCCUGUACAUUUAUGUUCAAGCAUGAGUCACCUUGAAGAAGUGAAUACUGAAUACAUCGGUUGGCAUGUUGAGAGGGAACGCUCUAUCUCAAGGCUCUUUCACUAGUCCCUCUCCUUGAUAGGCAUUACCACAUAAAUAGAAUGAGUAGAAUGGUCUCCAUUCAAAUCAAUGAUGCCGUAAUGGGUGGACCUUGCGCCCAUUUAACACUGAUGGCCUGCACAUGUAAUGUCCUUGAUCAUUGUUACACUUGGGGCCACAGCGCACAAUGACAGCUGUUUAUUAUGUACUUAUGGUGAAUGUGUCCUUUUUAUUGAUAUUUGUUUUUUGAUGUGUUUUUGUGAGCACUUAUGAGAAGUCUAACUGUCCCGUAUCAUGGGAUUGUAUGAAGGGUAAUUGAGAGUGUAAUGUCUUCUAGGCAAUGAAGUAAUGGUCAGUUUGGAUAAUGUGAUUUAUCCAAUGCAGACAUUUGUGUAGCUAAAUAACUCAAUAUUGUUAUGUGAUGAGAAUUUAAUGCAUAUUUUAUUUGGGCCAAUAUGUCUUUAUCCGUCUCAUCAUGAGGGAGUUCAAGUUUAUGCAAUCGAUUUGUAGGCUAGUCUCUCGUGACUGAACUGUGAGAUUUGGGUUCUGGGUUCCGAGAUGAAUCGACAUGCCACUGCCUAAUUAAAGUGAUGUGCUGCCACACAGAAUUCUCAUGUUUUAGAUGUUUCGCUUCUGGGUAGAAUAUUUUCUUGUUGCUUGAAUUAAAUCUACAAACCCAGACUCCUCAUCAGUCAGAAGUAUUACCAGAAUUAGGCUAAUGAACUACCAGAAUUAAUAUAGACUAGUCAGUCCCUAUGAGAAGGGUACUUGUUUUCUUGAGGUGUGGGUGAUAAUGGUUAAUGUUUUCCUUACAAGUUUCAGGUUUUAUUAGUGCCUUCAGAAAGUAUUCAUACCACUUGACUUAUUCUACAUUACAGCCUGAAUUCAAAAUUAAUUACAUCUUUUUUUUUCUCACCCAUCUACACACAAUACCCCAUAAUGACAAAGUGAAAACAUGUUUUAUAUAUAUUUUUCACAUUUAUUGUGUUUGAAAUACAGAAAUAUCAAGUGUACAUAAGUUCACACCCCUGAGUCAAUACUUUUUAGAAGCGCCUUUGGCAGCGAUUAGAGCUUCGUGUCUUUCUGGGUAAGUCUUGAAGAGCUUUCCACACCUGGAUUGUGCAACAUUUGCCCAUUUAUUAAAUUAAGAAAAUUCUUCAAGCUCUGCCAAAUUGAUUGGUGAUCAUUGCUAGACAACCAUUUUCAGUUCUUUCCAUAGAUGUUCAAGUAGAUUUAAGUCAAUACUAUAACUCGGCCACUUAGGAACAUUCACUGUCUUCUUGGUAAGCAACAGAUUUGGCCUUGUGUUUUUGGUUAUUGACCUACUGAAAGGUGAAUUUAUCUCCCUGUGUCUGUUGGAAAGCAGACUGAACCAGGAUUUUGCCUGAGCUUAGCUCCAUUCCUUUUCUUUUUUUUAUCCUGCAACACUCCCCAGGCCUUAACAAUUACAAACAUACCCAUAACACGAAGCCACCACUAUGCUCAAAAAUAUGGAGAGUGGUACUCAGUAAUGUGUUGUAUUAGAUUUGCUGCAAACAUAGCACUUUUUAUUCAGGACAUUUGUUUUUUGCAGUAUUACUUUAGUGCCUUGUAAACAGGAUGCAUGUUUUUGAAUAUUUACAUUUUGUACAGGCUUCCUUCUUAUCACUCUGUCAAUUAGGUUAGUAUUGUGGAGUGACUACAAUGUUGUUUGUCCAUCAUUUUUUUUCCUAUCACAGCCAUUAAACUCUGUACUUAAAUUCACCAUUGGCCUCGUGGUGAAAUCCCAGCGCGGUUUCCUUCCAGAGUUAGGGAGAACUGUAUCUUUGUAGUGACUGGGUAUGUUGAUACACCAUCUAAAGUGUAAUUAAUAACUGCACCAUGCUCAACGGGAUAUUCAAUGUAUGUUGUUUGUUUUUUAUCUACCAAUAGAUGCCCUUCUUUGCAAGGAAUUGGAAAACCUC